rnacentral:lncRNA from 1 species
UGGGUAACAGAACCGGUGAACUCAACGAGGUCGAGAGCUUUUUCUUGAAUCCACGGAAGUUCCUCUUCUACUUCAAACUCAACAACUUCAUCUUGUCUAGAUUGUUUAGGGUUAUGUUACUGGAAGGGUUUUUCGAUGAUGACGCUGAAGCAACGGUUGAGAUUGAAGUAGGUGAUGAUAAGAGUGGUUUUGGGUGGAGUGUAGGGAAAAAGAAGGGUUGAGAUUGAAAAGGGGUUAGGGAUGGGUUUUUGUUUGGAGAGAGAGAAAAUGGGAAGUG